rnacentral:lncRNA from 1 species
UUUUACAAGUAUUUCCUGGAUUCACGUUUUAUCUUAGUGCCUUACUUAUCUUCUGUACAACCUGAGUAAGAACCCAUAACAGCAGGCACAUAACAGAGUGCAAUGUCUCUCACCUUGUCUUACAGCACAGGAGGAAGAGAACACUUGCUCAUGCUGAAGAAAAGAAACAAGCUUGAAAAGUGUUCAGGUGACAGAUAAACAGUGUGGAGCAUUUGCUGUCAUGGGAAAUCAUUAAGGCAAACAGUGUAGCAGAACUCAGUGUCUUGGAUAACAAUAACAGCUGAAUAAUGUAACAUUUGUAGCUGCAGCAGACAACUCAAAAGUUGCUUCAGAAAGAAUGUCAAUGGUAAAAUGGGGCAGAACUGUGCUUGAAAGACGUCCUUGAUCAGCUUAGGAUGGUUAAUUUGGGUUUUGAUAAUUGACAGGAAAUGAAAGGUGAAAAUUAUUUGUUUGCUAUGGAAAGCUGAAAAUAGCCACGCUCCCUGCUUGUUCUAGCAGCUUUCCCCCUCCUUUUCCCAAUUGCUUCCAGCUCUGAGGUACUUGCUGUGCUAUUCUCAGCCAUCCCAGGAGUAUGAUGAGUCAGAACCAGGAGAGGUUGGACGCUUUGGGGGAGUUGAGAGGGGAAGUGGUAGUGGAAAGAGACAACUGCCUGUCAGGAUUUUUGCCACUUCUUUCUCUGACUUCCCCAGCUCCUGAUGGGCUGACUGCCUCUAGCAGGGAAUCCUUGAUAGCAGGUAUAAAGGAGGACAAAUUCUUCAGGGAGAGAAUGACCUGGAAAAAAAAAACAAAAGCAAAUGAAAAAACAACCCUAUCAGAGGGCACUUUUAGUCUGUGAAGUGAGCUGGCAGUCCAGUUAGAUUUUCCAGCAGAGACGGAUUGUAUUUAAAUUUCUUACUGUCAAAUUCAGCUUGAAACAAGAAAGGUAUGGAAGCAUCAGGUCUCAUCUGGAGGAGACUGAUAUCAGCAAGGCUACAAGGCACUGCCAUUGAUGAAGGUAUGGGUUUUUUUCCCCAUGGGGUGAAGUUUUCAACU